rnacentral:misc_RNA from 1 species
GAUGAAGAACGCAGCGAAAUGCGAUACGUAAUGUGAAUUGCAGAAUUCAGUGAAUCAUCGAAUCUUUGAACGCAUAUUGCGCUCUUUGGUAUUCCGAAGAGCAUGCUUGUUUGAGUAUCAGUAAACACCUCAAAGCUUUUGGAUUUUUUAAUCGAAAAGCUUUGGACUUGAGCAAUCCCAACACCAAUCUUUUUGAGAUCGGUGGCGGGUUGCUUGAAAUGCAGGUGCAGCUGGACAUUCUCCUGAGCUAAAAGCAUAUUCAUUUAGUCCCGUCAAACGGAUUAUUACGUUUGCUGCAGCUAACAUAAAGGGAGUUUGACCGUAUUGGCUGACUGAUGCAGGAUUUCACAAGGGUCGGCAACGAUUCUUGUUAAACUCGAUCUCAAAUCAAGUAAGACUACCCGCUGAACUUAAGCAUAUCAAUAAGCGGAGGA